GGGAGUAGAUGGGUGCUGGUGUGCCCUCUGGUCUUCAAAACCAGUUUGAGGAGUUAAGAGCUUCUCAGGUGGGUUCGAUUCCCACGUACUCCCGCCA
rnacentral:tRNA from 1 species